CAAGACUUGACAUCCUCGGCGAAGCUAUAGAAGUAUAGUGGAGGUUAUCCGAGUGACAGGUGGUGCACGGUUGUCGUCAGCUCGUGUCGUGAGAUGUUGGGUUAAGUCCCGCAACGAGCGCAACCCUUGUCUUUAGUUGCUAACAUUAAGUUGAGGACUCUAAAGAGACUGCCGGUGAUAAAUCGGAGGAAGGUGGGGAUGACGUCAAAUCAUCAUGCCCCUUAUGUCUUGGGCUACAUACGUGCUACAAUGGCCGAUACAACGAGCUGCUAAACCGCAAGGUCAUGCGAAUCUCUUAAAAUCGGUCUAAGUUCGGAUUGAGGUCUGCAACUCGACCUCAUGAAGUUGGAAUCGCUAGUAAUCCCGGGUCAGCAUACCGGGGUGAAUACGUUCUC
rnacentral:rRNA from 1 species